rnacentral:rRNA from 1 species
UACAGAGGGUGCGAGCGUUAAUCGGAAUUACUGGGCGUAAAGCGCGCGUAGGCGGCUUUGCAAAUCGGGUGUGAAAUCCCCAGGCUUAACCUGGGAACUGCAUUCGAGACUGCAUUGCUAGAGUAUGGGAGAGGGAAGUGGAAUUUCCGGUGUAGCGGUGAAAUGCGUAGAUAUCGGAAGGAACAUCAGUGGCGAAAGCGACUUUCUGGACCAAUACUGACGCUCAUGUGCGAAAGCGUGGGGAGCAAACAGG